GAGUGGCACAAUGGUUCAGUGUAUCUGGCUGUUAACCAGAAGGCUGGUGGCGUGAGCCCUCCCAGGGACU